rnacentral:snRNA from 1 species
AUUGCUUGUCAGCCUUUUGACUAAGAUCAAGUGUAGUAUCUGUUCUUAUUACAAUAGACUCCCUCGAAAAGGCAAUUAUAAUUAAUAAAAUAUUAAACUCAUACAUGGCUGGCCUCCUACCCAGCCGCUACUGGUAAGCAGUCUGCACCCCUG